CGGUGGUACCCGUCUUCCUUUCCCGAGGAGGAAAAAUGAGAGAGAGAAUCAAGUUGGAGCCGGCUUGGGCCGUGUUGGGGGCGGGAGUGCCAGACGCUGAGGCCUCAAGGGCUUCCGCAUCUGCUUCCGACUGACUGAAGUGUGAAGCGAGGUGUCAACAGUUCUGGAGGCUGGGAAGUCCAAGAUCAAGGUGCUGGUCAGUUCGGUUCCUGGUGAAGACUCUCUCCUUGGGUUGCAGAUUUCUCAUUACUUCCUCACAUGGCCUUUCCCCAGUGGCCAUCCUGCCUGAAACUCAGGAAACCAGGGUCCUGGUUGUGUAAUAUGAGUACACUUGAAAUGUACCUUGUCCUUAUUUGGCAGCCCAGAUGGAUGAAUACUGGCCCUGAAGUUGCUUUUCGUAAAACAGAGCCGGCCCAGUGGCGCAGCAGUUAAGUUCAUGUGCUCCGCUUCGGCAGCGCGGGGUUCGCCAGUUUGGAUCCUGGACGCAGACGUACUCACUGCUCAUCAAGCCAUGCGGAGGCGGCGUCCCACAUAGAAGAUCUAGAAGGACCUACAGCUAGGAUAUACAACUAUGUACUGGGGCUUUAGGGAGAAAAAAAGAAAAAGAGGAAGAUUGGCAACAGAUGUUAGCUCAGGGCCAAUCUUCCUCAAAAAAAAAAAAAAAGACUCAAGCUGGGGAAAAAAUAAAUAAAUAAAUGAAGUCUGAAGUCUCCGAUUGUUACCUGACCAGUUCCAAGGCAGCUGUCCACAGACAGGCAGCCAAGUGCCCUGGGUUCAAAUCCUCAAUCUGCUACUUACUGGCUACAUUUCCCUUCUCCAUGAAGUGAAGAUCAUCAUUCCUGCCUCCCAGGGGUGUUGGGAGAAGUGAGGAGGUGAUAUAUAGACGGUCUCUGUCUAUGGCACAUAUCCGUCUAUAACUGAUGAUAGAUGAGUUCUCAGUACAGCGAUUACUCCAGAGCAUGCCAGGAGUCCAGGUGCAACUCUGGCAGGACAGACCACGUGCUCUGUGAACAAACAACUGUCCUUCUGGAUAAAGGGUGUAUUUGGCCAGCAGCCAAGGACCCUGGGACGGCUUUGUGUAGCCUGGCCCUUCCUUCCUUUCUUCCUUUCAGCUUGGAGUGGGUGCAGCCUCGCAGAAGUUCGUGUUUCGUUCCUAAUUACCACUCAGGCUCUACUAUCAGCCUGUCUUUCAUUUCUACCACAGGCUUUCAGCCAGGCAGUUUGACAGAAUCUCGUCUGGAGCGUGUUAACUCUUUUCCCUCACCGCUGGCAGAGAUCUGGGAUCCGCUCUGCAUUAGGGCAAGUUGUAAGUAAACACACAUUUGCUCAAAUGUGGCCCCCCCUCCCAUCCCAUAGCCUUAUUUUAGAUUUGGGCAGCUUCAAGUCAGGGAACCAAAGAAUGCUUGAAAAAGACUUUACAAGUCAUUUGAUUGAGCCUACCUGUUUUACAGAGUAAAUUGAAGAUGUUUGGUUAAGUCACUCAUGUUUAUAUAGACAACUUGAGGAUACAGAUAGAGCUGGAAGUCAAGUCCUCUGUCUCUUAGUCCAAAACUUUUUCCACAAUAAGCCAGUACCUCAAUCAUUCAUUCAUUCCUUCAAAAAAUGUGUAUUGAGCAUCUAACACCUUAUGCCCGGUCCUUUUGUGGGCACUGGAGAAACAGAGAUAUAAGAAACGAUCUGCCCUUGAAGUGCUUAUGAACUAUCUGUUUGUCCAUCCAUCCAUCUAAUGCAUCUGUCUAUUCAUUCAUCCAUCCAUUUCUCCUGUCCAUCUCUCAUUCAUCUAUUCAUCUUCAUCCUUUUGUACAUUUGAUUUUGUCCAUUCAUUUCUCUAUCUCACCAUCCAUUUGUCCUCGUAUCUAUUCACCUUUCUAUCUGUCCAUUUAUCCUCGUUCUCAUCCAUAACCUGUUCUUAUUUCCAUGAGUCUACUUCUCUUUUGAUCCAUCCAUUGGUAUCUUCAUCCAUCCAGAAUUUAUUGAGUGUCUAUAUGGCUCUAGGUUUUUGGUUGGUAGUCAGGACUGAGAUAAAUAAGCAUUUGUAUUUGAGUUGUAUGAACAUAUGCUUUCUUGUCUCAUUGUUAAAUACCUUGGAGUGGAAUGGCUGGAUCAUGUGGUAGAUAUUUAACUUUUUAAGAAACUGCUAAAAUGUUUUUCAAAUAAUUUUUACCCUUUUACAUGUCUACAAGUUCCUCUACUGCCUUCCCAACUUUUUGCACGGUCAGUCUUUUUAAUUUUAUUCAUUCUAGUAGGUAUAGUUUUAAUUUUGUUAUUCCCCUAAUGACAAAUGUUGGUAAGCACCUUUUCAUGUGCUUAUUUGCUAUCCAUAUAUCAUUUUGGCAAAGUGCAUAGAAAUCUUAC